rnacentral:rRNA from 1 species
AUUGAACGCUGGCGGCAUGCUUUACACAUGCAAGUCGAACGGCAGCGGGGGCUUCGGCCCGCCGGCGAGUGGCGAACGGGUGAGUAAUGCAUCGGAACGUGCCCAGUCGUGGGGGAUAACACAUCGAAAGAUGUGCUAAUACCGCAUACGUCCUGAGGGAGAAAGCGGGGGAUCUUCGGACCUCGCGCGAUUGGAGCGGCCGAUGUCGGAUUAGCUAGUUGGUGGGGUAAAAGCCCACCAAGGCGACGAUCCGUAGCGGGUCUGAGAGGAUGAUCCGCCACACUGGGACUGAGACACGGCCCAGACUCCUACGGGAGGCAGCAGUGGGGAAUUUUGGACAAUGGGGGCAACCCUGAUCCAGCCAUGCCGCGUGAGUGAAGACGGCCU